AGCAACAAAUGCCCUGCUUCCAGGAAAAGCCUCUAAGCAUCAGGUAACAUCAAAUCGUACCCCAAACCGACACAGGUGGUCAGGUAGAGAAUACCAAGGCGCUUGAGAGAACUCGGGUGAAGGAACUAGGCAAAAUGGUGCCGUAACUUCGGGAGAAGGCACGCUGACACGUAGGUGAAGUGAUUUACUCAUGGAGCUGAAGUCAGUCGAAGAUACCAGCUGGCUGCAACUGUUUAUUAAAAACACAGCACUGUGCAAACACGAAAGUGGACGUAUACGGUGUGACGCCUGCCCGGUGCCGGAAGGUUAAUUGAUGGGGUCAGCGCAAGCGAAGCUCCUGAUCGAAGCCCCGGUAAACGGCGGCCGUAACUAUAACGGUCCUAAGGUAGCGAAAUUCCUUGUCGGGUAAGUUCCGACCUGCACGAAUGGCGUAAUGAUGGCCAGGCUGUCUCCACCCGAGACUCAGUGAAAUUGAACUCGCUGUGAAGAUGCAGUGUACCCGCGGCAAGACGGAAAGACCCCGUGAACCUUUACUAUAGCUUGACACUGAACAUUGAGCCUUGAUGUGUAGGAUAGGUGGGAGGCUUUGAAGUGUGGACGCCAGUCUGCAUGGAGCCGACCUUGAAAUACCACCCUUUAAUGUUUGAUGUUCUAACGUGGACCCGUAAUCCGGGUUGCGGACAGUGUCUGGUGGGUAGUUUGACUGGGGCGGUCUCCUCCUAAAGAGUAACGGAGGAGCACGAAGGUUGGCUAAUCCUGGUCGGACAUCAGGAGGUUAGUGCAAUGGCAUAAGCCAGCUUGACUGCGAGCGUGACGGCGCGAGCAGGUGCGAAAGCAGGUCAUAGUGAUCCGGUGGUUCUGAAUGGAAGGGCCAUCGCUCAACGGAUAAAAGGUACUCCGGGGAUAACAGGCUGAUACCGCCCAAGAGUUCAUAUCGACGGCGGUGUUUGGCACCUCGAUGUCGGCUCAUCACAUCCUGGGGCUGAAGUAGGUCCCAAGGGUAUGGCUGUUCGCCAUUUAAAGUGGUACGCGAGCUGGGUUUAGAACGUCGUGAGACAGUUCGGUCCCUAUCUGCCGUGGGCGCUGGAGAACUGAGGGGGGCUGCUCCUAGUACGAGAGGACCGGAGUGGACGCAUCACUGGUGUUCGGGUUGUCAUGCCAAUGGCACUGCCCGGUAGCUAAAUGCGGAAGAGAUAAGUGCUGAAAGCAUCUAAGCACGAAACUUGCCCCGAGAUGAGUUCUCCCUGAGACUUAGAGUCUCCUGAAGGAACGUUGAAGACGACGACGUUGAUAGGCCGGGUGUGUAAGCGCAGCGAUGCGUUGAGCUAACCGGUACUAAUGAACCGUGAGGCUUAACCUUACAA
rnacentral:rRNA from 1 species